AGUGGAAGAGCACUUGCCUACAAUGCACAAGGUCCUGGGUUCAAUUCGACACUACCAACCAACAACAGCAAAAACUAAAGGCUUCUCAGAUAGCUGCAGAAGUACAGAAAAUGCAGAGCAUGGCGAAGCUGAGCUGUAAUUCAGAAGCCAGGUUCAAGAAAGUGCCAGCAUAGAAUCUCUGAAAACCACUAGAAGCUCCUGGGAAGAAAAUUUCGCAGCUGAGAGUCAGGCCUUCAAAAGGGCUGUUUCCCUAGAAAUUUCAAUGGGUGCAGAAAACCACUGUCACUGAUCACUCGGUGUCAGAGUGAACCAAAGGAGUUUUGCUUUCAAAAUGGAAAAGCCUUUGAAAAUGCCUUCUUCAAGCUAUGGUUUCCUUCUUAUGCCCGCAUGAGGAUGAUUCUUGAAAAGGAUGCAGCAGUUAAAGUGGAUUCUUGAGAUCUUAUCCUGAAUAGAACACUGGCAUGCAGUCACCCAGAAGUUUACAGCUAUGAAAGCCUUACAAAUCUCCACUGUCACACAGCCCAGCGUGGACUCGGAUCUGCAUUCAAAGGUCAAUCAGCCCAGAAUCCAAAAAUAACUGCAGAGUUAUGUGCAGGAUCUUCAGAAAUGUCAAAAAGGAAUUCAAUCAUAAUGGAAGACCAAAUUCUUAGGCUCCUCUUUCCAUAGCUCCUUAUCUUGCACUGUGCUGAGUUAUCCCCAAGAAUGUUUCUUCACACUGCCAGGAGCGUCCAAUCUUCAUUGCAACACAAUGGCAUCGUCUACAAAUCCAUGCUUGAGAAUCAUGUAACCAAGUUACAAAACAAAAUUGCAAAAAAAAAAAAA